GCACUGGUGAGGAGUCCCAAAAUAGGACGAAACGGUCGUUCAGUGC
rnacentral:hammerhead_ribozyme from 1 species